rnacentral:rRNA from 1 species
ACCCGCUGAACUUAAGCAUAUCAAUAAGCGGAGGAAAAGAAACCAACAGGGAUUGCCCUAGUAACGGCGAGUGAAGCGGCAACAGCUCAAAUUUGAAAUCUGGCGUCUUUGGCGUCCGAGUUGUAAUUUGCAGAGGGCGCUUUGGCAUUGGCAGCGGUCCAAGUUCCUUGGAACAGGACGUCACAGAGGGUGAGAAUCCCGUACGUGGUCGCUAGCCUUUACCGUGUAAAGCCCCUUCGACGAGUCGAGUUGUUUGGGAAUGCAGCUCUAAAUGGGAGGUAAAUUUCUUCUAAAGCUAAAUACUGGCCAGAGACCGAUAGCGCACAAGUAGAGUGAUCGAAAGAUGAAAAGCACUUUGGAAAGAGAGUUAAAAAGCACGUGAAAUUGUUGAAAGGGAAGCGCUUGCAGCCAGACUUGCCUGUAGUUGCUCAUCCGGGUUUUUACCCGGUGCACUCUUCUAUAGGCAGGCCAGCAUCAGUUUGGGCGGUUGGAUAAAGGUCUCUGUCAUGUACCUCUCUUCGGGGAGGCCUUAUAGGGGAGACGACAUGCAACCAGCCUGGACUGAGGUCCGCGCAUUUGCUAGGAUGCUGGCGUAAUGGCUGU